rnacentral:rRNA from 1 species
UUUGAUGGCGACCGGCGCACGGGUGAGUAACACGUAUCCAACCUGCCGAUGACUCGGGGAUAGCCUUUCGAAAGAAAGAUUAAUACCCGAUGGCAUAGUUCUUCCGCAUGGUAGAACUAUUAAAGAAUUUCGGUCAUCGAUGGGGAUGCGUUCCAUUAGGUUGUUGGCGGGGUAACGGCCCACCAGCUUCGAUGGAUAGGGGUUCUGAGAGGAAGGUCCCCCACAUUGGAACUGAGACACGGUCCAA